CAUUAAGGUGAAACCGCGAAAGGCUCAUUAAAUCAGUUGUGGUUCCUUAGAUCGUACCCAAGUUACUUGGAUAACUGUGGUAAUUCUAGAGCUAAUACAUGCCGACAGAGUUCCGACCGUCGCGGCGCCCUCGGGCGUCGCUCGCGGGAGGAACGCUUUUAUUAGAUCAAAACCGGCCCGUCGCGGCGCGCUUCGUGCGCGUCCCGAUCGCGGCCCGCGCAAAGACCUGGUGACUCUGAAUAACUUCGAGCUGAUCGCACGGUCUCCGUACCGGCGACGCAUCUUUCAAAUGUCUGCCUUAUCAACUGUCGAUGGUAGGUUCCAUGCCUACCAUGGUGGUAACGGGUAACGGGGAAUCAGGGUUCGAUUCCGGAGAGGGAGCCUGAGAAACGGCUACCACAUCCAAGGAAGGCAGCAGGCGCGCAAAUUACCCACUCCCGGAACGGGGAGGUAGUGACGAAAAAUAACGAUACGGGACUCAUCCGAGGCCCCGUAAUCGGAAUGAGAACACUUUAAAACCUUUAAACGAGGAUCAAUUGGAGGGCAAGUCUGGUGCCAGCAGCCGCGGUAAUUCCAGCUCCAAUAGCGUAUAUUAAAGUUGUUGCGGUUAAAAAGCUCGUAGUCGGAUCUGUGUCUGGACGGUGCCGGACCACCCCUGGCGGUCCGUCGUGUCGCGGCCGGCCGUGUCGCGGGACCACGUGUCCCGUCGGCGCGGUCGCCGUCGCGCUCGUCAGCCGUCUCGGGGUGUUAGUUACCGGCACGUCGGCCGGACGUAUUGUCGGCAGGCGGACACGUGUCUCGUGCUUCCGGCGCGCCGCGC
rnacentral:ncRNA from 1 species